rnacentral:rRNA from 1 species
UACGUAGGGGCCAAGCGUUGUCCGGAUUUAUUGGGCGUAAAGAGCUCGUAGGCGGUUGGGUAAGUCGGGUGUGAAAACUCCAGGCUCAACUUGGAGAUGCCACCCGAUACUGCUCUGACUUGAGUUCGGUAGGGGAGACUGGAAUUCCUGGUGUAGCGGUGAAAUGCGCAGAUAUCAGGAGGAACACCGGUGGCGAAGGCGGGUCUCUGGGCCGAUACUGACGCUGAGGAGCGAAAGCGUGGGGAGCGAACAGG